GUAGCUUCGUGUUCAGUGACGGAGGAAGUCCCGACCGCCAUGGAGCAGCUCAGUCCACUCGGGUACGCUGGAGCAGGACUCCUUCAGAUUAUAUUCGGCAUCCCUCUGACUAUUCUACAAUUAAUAAUCGGGCCUUUGAACAGCGCCACCACAUGCAAAGGGUUCUCUGCUGGGCUCAUACCCUUCACGUUGCGACUGUUGCGAGGCGAUGAAGUCAAAUGGUACUUUGAUUCGUGCUGACGGAAGGAAAAAAUGGCGCCACGUAAUCGCCAGAAAUUAAGUUUUUAUAUUGCUUGUUUCAGUUCCAUGGUUUUGUAUUUUUAUCUAUUUAUUUAUGUA